CCCUCCCGAAGAAUAUGUGUAAAAUGGAUUUAACCCGGACGGGUAAUCCGAAUUAGGGUCUGAAUUUAGCCUGGACUGGUAAUUCAGAUCCAAGCUCAUUAGAGUAAUUGUCGUUGCAGGGGAUUUAGCCUGGACUGGUAAUCCCGACAAUACUCUAUGAGUUUAUAUUGCAGGGGAUUUAGCCUGGACUGGUAAUCCCGCUGCAAGGUUGUGGUUUGCGGGAGUGUGCUCUCUGAAAUGGAAAUGUGCGCACAUGAAUAUGAAUUGACGGACCCAGAAUUGUACACUAAAAGUGUACCUCUGAAAAUC
rnacentral:lncRNA from 1 species